rnacentral:rRNA from 1 species
CGUGAGGGAAAGGUGAAAAGAACCCCGGGAGGGGAGUGAAAUAGAACCUGAAACCCUAUGUUUACAAGCAGACAAAGCACGUUAAGGUGCGAUGUCGUACUUUUUGUAGAACGGUCCGGCGAGUUAUUUUAUAUGGCAAGGUUAAGUACUGAAGGUACGAAGCCGAAGGGAAACCGAGUGUUAAUAGCGCGUAAAAGUCAUAUGAAAUAGACCCGAAACCGAGUGACCUAACCAUGUCCAGGAUGAAGCUUGAGUAAAAUCAAGUGGAGGUCCGAACUCAUAGACGUUAAAAAGUCUCGGGAUGAGGUGUGGUUAGCGGAGAAAUUCCAAUCGAACUCGGAGAUAGCUGGUUCUCCUCGAAAUAGUUUUAGGACUAGCCUUGAGAGAAUAAUGCGCGGGGGUAGAGCACUGAAUGAGCUAGGGGUCAAACCUGAUUACCGAACUCUAUCAAACUCCGAAUACCGUGUAGAGGAAACUCAGGAGUCAGACUGCGGGAGCUAAGUUCCGUGGUCAAAAGGGAAAGAGCCCAGAUCGUCAAAUAAGGUCCCAAAGAUAUAGUUAAGUGGAAAACGAUGUGAUUUUGCGUAAACAACCAGGAUGUUGGCUCAGAAGCAGCCACCCAUUUAAAGAGUGCGUAAUAGCUCACUGGUCGAGUGAAGUUGCGCGGAAAAUUACCGGGGCUAAGCUAUACACCGAAAUUGCGGAUUUACAUUUGAAAGACAAUGUAAGUGGUAGAGGAGCAUUCUGUAGUAGGAAGAAGCAUGACCGUAAGGACAUGUGGACGAAGCAGAAGAGAGAAUGCUGGAAUAAGUAGCGAGAGGAUGGUGAGAAUCCAUCCCGUCGAAAAUCUAAGGUUUCCCAGGGAAGGUUCGUCCGCCUGGGGUAAGUCGGGACCUAAGGAGAGGCCGAAAGGCGUAUCUGAUGGAUAGCAGGUUGAAAUUCCUGCACUACGAAUAUACUUAAAAGAUUCAAGGGACGCAGAAGUGGAAGAUAACCAAGUAAGAGGAAAAGCUUGGCUCGCAAGAGGGAGUGAAAAUUAAAAGUAACGAAGUAUCAAGAAGCACGCUGACGAGAAAAGCUUGAAGAUAUUGUAUAUAAGUACCCGUACCGCAAACCGACACAGGUAGAUGAGGAGAGGAUCCUAAGACGAGCGGGAGAAGCAUUGUUAAGGAACUCGGCAAAUUAACCCCGUAACUUCGGAAUAAGGGGUGCUGAUGUAACAGUCAGUCGCAGAGAAAAGGCCCAAGCAACUGUUUAACAAAAACAUAGGUUUCUGCUAAAUCGAAAGAUGAAGUAUAGGAGCUGACGCCUGCCCAGUGCUGGAAGGUUAAGGGAAAGAGUUAGGGUUAAACCGAAGCUUAGAACUGAAGCCCCAGUGAACGGCGGCCGUAACUAUAACGGUCCUAAGGUAGCGAAAUUCCUUGUCAGGUAAGUUCUGACCCGCACGAAAGGCGUAAUGAUUUGGGCGCUGUCUCGACAAUGUCCCCGGCGAAAUUGUAGUACUAGUGAAGAUGCUAGUUACCUGCGAUAAGACAGAAAGACCCCAUGGAGCUUUACUGCAGUUUGAUACUGGGUUUCGAUGAUUUAUGUACAGGAUAGUUGGGAGACUAUGAAAGAGAGGCGUCAGCUUCUCCGGAGUCAUUGUUGGGAUACCAACCUUAAGUUAUUGAAAUUCUAACUUGUAAUCGUAAACCGGUUAGAGGACAAUGUCAGACGGGCAGUUUGACUGGGGCGGUCGCCUCCUAAAGAGUAACGGAGGCGCCCAAAGGUUUCCUCAGCGCGGACAGAAAUCGCGCGAAAGAGUGUAAAGGCAGAAGGAAGCUUAACUGAGAGACAGACAUGUCGACCAGAUACGAAAGUAGGGCUUAGUGAUCCGGUGGUUGUAAAUGGAAAUGCCAUCGCUCAACGGACAAAAGUUACCCUGGGGAUAACAGGCUUAUCUCCCCCAAGAGUUCACAUCGACGGGGAGGUUUGGCACCUCGAUGUCGGCUCAUCACAUCCUGGAGCGGAAGUACGUUCCAAGGGUUGGGCUGUUCGCCCAUUAAAGUGGUACGCGAGCUGGGUUCAGAACGUCGUGAGACAGUUCGGUCCUUAUCUGUCGCAGGCGGAGGAUAUUUGAAGGGAGUUGGCCCUAGUACGAGAGGACCAGGCUGAACGAACCGAUGGUACACCAGUUGUCUCACCAGAGGCACAGCUGGGAAGCUAAGUUCGGAAGGGAUAAACGCUGAAAGCAUCUAAGUGUGAAGCCCACCCUAAGAUAAGAUAUGCCAUACCGUAAGGUAGU